UACGAAGGGGGCUAGCGUUGCUCGGAAUCACUGGGCGUAAAGCGCACGUAGGCGGCUUCUUAAGUCAGGGGUGAAAUCCUGGAGCUCAACUCCAGAACUGCCUUCGAUACUGGGGAGCUCGAGUCCGGGAGAGGUGAGUGGAACUGCGAGUGUAGAGGUGAAAUUCGUAGAUAUUCGCAAGAACACCAGUGGCGAAGGCGGCUCACUGGCCCGGAACUGACGCUGAGGUGCGAAAGCGUGGGGAGCAAACAGG
rnacentral:rRNA from 1 species